GAUGAACGCUGACAGAAUGCUUAACACAUGCAAGUCUACUUGAAUUUGGGUUUUUUAACUUCGAUUUGGGUGGCGGACGGGUGAGCAACGCGUAAAGAACUUGCCUCACAGCUAGGGACAACAUUUGGAAACGAAUGCUAAUACCUGAUAUUAUGAUUAUAGGGCAUCCUAGAAUUAUGAAAGCUAUAUGCGCUGUGAGAGAGCUUUGCGUCCCAUUAGCUAGUUGGAGAGGUAACGGCUCACCAAGGCGAUGAUGGGUAGCCGGCCUGAGAGGGUGAACGGCCACAAGGGGACUGAGACACGGCCCUUACUCCUACGGGAGGCAGCAGUGGGGAAUAUUGGACAAUGGACCGAGAGUCUGAUCCAGCAAUUCUGUGUGCACGAUGACGUUUUUCGGAAUGUAAAGUGCUUUCAGUUGGGAAGAAAAAAAUGACGGUACCAACAGAAGAAGUGACGGCUAAAUACGUGCCAGCAGCCGCGGUAAUACGUAUGUCACGAGCGUUAUCCGGAUUUAUUGGGCGUAAAGCGCGUCUAGGUGGUUAUGUAAGUCUGAUGUGAAAAUGCAGGGCUCAACUCUGUAUUGCGUUGGAAACUGUGUAACUAGAGUACUGGAGAGGUAAGCGGAACUACAAGUGUAGAGGUGAAAUUCGUAGAUAUUUGUAGGAAUGCCGAUGGGGAAGCCAGCUUACUGGACAGAUACUGACGCUGAAGCGCGAAAGCGUGGGUAGCAAACAGG
rnacentral:rRNA from 1 species